UGGGGGAUUAGUGGCGAACGGGUGAGUAACACGUGAGUAACCUGCCCUUGACUCUGGGAUAAGCCUGGGAAACUGGGUCUAAUACCGGAUACGACCAUCUGGCGCAUGUCAUGGUGGUGGAAAGCUUUUGUGGUUUUGGAUGGACUCGCGGCCUAUCAGCUUGUUGGUGGGGUAAUGGCCUACCAAGGCGACGACGGGUAGCCGGCCUGAGAGGGUGACCGGCCACACUGGGACUGAGACACGGCCCAGACUCCUACGGGAGGCAGCAGUGGGGAAUAUUGCACAAUGGGCGCAAGCCUGAUGCAGCGACGCCGCGUGAGGGAUGACGGCCUUCGGGUUGUAAACCUCUUUCAGUAGGGAAGAAGCGAAAGUGACGGUACCUGCAGAAGAAGCGCCGGCUAACUACGUGCCAGCAGCCGCGGUAAUACGUAGGGCGCAAGCGUUAUCCGGAAUUAUUGGGCGUAAAGAGCUCGUAGGCGGUUUGUCGCGUCUGCUGUGAAAGACCGGGGCUCAACUCCGGUUCUGCAGUGGGUACGGGCAGACUAGAGUGCAGUAGGGGAGACUGGAAUUCCUGGUGUAGCGGUGAAAUGCGCAGAUAUCAGGAGGAACACCGAUGGCGAAGGCAGGUCUCUGGGCUGUAACUGACGCUGAGGAGCGAAAGCAUGGGGAGCGAACAGGAUUAGAUACCCUGGUAGUCCAUGCCGUAAACGUUGGGCACUAGGUGUGGGGGACAUUCCACGUUUUCCGCGCCGUAGCUAACGCAUUAAGUGCCCCGCCUGGGGAGUACGGCCGCAAGGCUAAAACUCAAAGGAAUUGACGGGGGCCCGCACAAGCGGCGGAGCAUGCGGAUUAAUUCGAUGCAACGCGAAGAACCUUACCAAGGCUUGACAUGAACCGGAAAGACCUGGAAACAGGUGCCCCGCUUGCGGUCGGUUUACAGGUGGUGCAUGGUUGUCGUCAGCUCGUGUCGUGAGAUGUU
rnacentral:rRNA from 1 species